GCUCCAGACUCCUACGGGAGGCAGCAGUGGGGAAUAUUGCACAAUGGGGGAAACCCUGAUGCAGCAACGCCGCGUGAGUGAAGAAGCGUUUCGGCGCGUAAAGUUCUGUCAGCGGGGAAGAAAGAAGACGGUACCCGACCAAGAAGCACCGGCUAAAUACGUGCCAGCAGCCGCGGUAAUACGUAUGGUGCAAGCGUUAUCCGGAUUUACUGGGUGUAAAGGGAGCGCAGGCGGCGCGUUAAGCCUGGUGUGAAAGCCCGCGGCCCAACCGCGGGACUGCAUUGGGAACUGGCGCGCUGGAGUGCCGGGGGGGUAGGCGGAAUUCCUAGUGUAGCGGUGAAAUGCGUAGAUAUUAGGAGGAACACCAGUGGCGAAGGCGGCCUACUGGACGGUGACUGACGCUGAGGCUCGAAAGCGUGGGGAGCAAACAGGAUUAGAUACCCCUGUA
rnacentral:rRNA from 1 species